rnacentral:lncRNA from 1 species
AAAGAAAAAAAAUGAGGCCUGAGUGAGAUCAGCCUCAGCUACACUGUGACACUGCUUAAGCAAGCCAAGCAAAAGGAAGAAUAAGGUACCCUCAAAGAUGGUGCCCUAAGCCUCCAGGUGGCCAGGAGGGAUUGCUAAUAUGGAGAAAGAUCUUGAAUAGACAACGUCCAUUGUAGGCUCCGCUCCCCUGCGUCAUCUGGAAUAUCCUGCCCCCAUUUGCUGCUGCCGCUUUAUUAGACCUGCAAAUGUAGCCACUGAUCUCUCCAGUUCUUCCAGCACCCGCCCUGCCCUGUGUCUAAAGCAUUGUGGCAUCCAGUCUAGCAUCCUUGGAUUCCUUUCCCUGCUCACAGCAAGCUGUCGUGGGCAGAACUGAGCACAGCACAGGGGAGUGGCAGUGGCUUGGGAUAGUUCUCAGGUGAUGGUCCGUGGGGUUGGGGGUUGGACUUGGAGUUGAAUUUGAGAUCUAACUGGCUCUGAGGAGUAAAGGGACCUAACAUGACCUCUCCCCCAGUGUUUGAAGUAUUAAACCGCUCUGCUCUGCUUAAUGUUUUAGAAAUGCGGUGACUGGCCCUGCCCUCACCCUGACAGCCUUUCUGGAGGUGAAAGUAUCCCUCAGUUUGUUUUUGUAGAUUUCCAGUGAGAUUUCUGUGUCUACUAGGUAGGUAGCAGGCAUGUAAGUCCGAGAUGGUGUUUUAAGCGUUUCCCAGGGAAUGUUGUUGAGUGACUUACCAUGCUUUGUUUGGGGUGUUCUGUACCGUUUGGAAUGUUUGUUGUAGCUGUGGGCCACUGACGUCCAGUCUGGACUAUUUGUAGCUGUGUAGACUAUUUGAAGUCUAUUUGAUAUUUUCAGUUGUCUUCUAAAAUGUGUUUGAAAACAUGCCUUGACUUGGCAUUGUUAGGGCGUAGGAGAGUUGUCACUGAAAAGAAGAGAGAGACUCCCUGCCUGUCCGUGGGCAUUGAGACUUGGAAGGCCUCAUAGAUCAUGACUGACCUUGGACUGUUGAGAUGGCUCGGCAGGUAAGCACUGUUUGCAGGCCAAGUCUGACAACCUGUUUGUGAUGGUGAAGGAGCGGUAAUGCCGGCUGGGAAUUGUUGUGACUUCCACGGAUGUACCAUGGGAUCCAUGUGCGUUAAUAGAAAGGAUUAUGUAAAAUCCAAGGCUGAUGGCUCUAAAGUCAGGCAGCUCAUGGAGUCAUAAGUGAGAGGGUAGACAAGGAAUGAGCCCUGAACCUUCUCUGAGUUGUACAGGUGGGUUUCUGUGCUGUGGUUUCUGCUGACAGACCAGAGGAUAAGCCCAGCCUUCUUGAAGACUUGAAGACAAACAAGUCUUAAGUUAGAGGGAUGAGGGGAAGUAGGAGUCACAAACCUGCUCACAUUUAUUUUUGUCUUAAGUCUGCAUCAGAAGAUGCAGAAAGCAGUGUUAUCUAUCAAUAGGGCAUGAUUAGCCCUGCUGAUUUGAGAAUAAAAUCUGGCUGUAAAUACAAUAUCCAAAAGACCUGACUCUACAUCUUCAUUCUCCAGCAAGAAAAAAAAUUAAAUAUAUAUAUAUGCUAUUUAAGCACUGGCUGCUGUAACCCUGCCUUAUUCUUUUUACCUGCUGGAAACCACAGGAGACAGGAGACAGAGCUUCUGGGGUUUCCCAUUGGAGCCUGGUUCACAGUGUUGUGCGCUCUGAUUUCUCUGCACAUCGUUUCUGCAUCUCUGGAAAACUCUCAGUUAUUUAGCAUCCUCUCCCUUGAAUGGGAGUUUAAGAAAGUUAUUUGAGAGGGAAAAGCUUUUGUUACACAAACCAUGCGUGGAAGGUUCGAGGAGAACAUCCUCCUGCAGGUCUUUGGUCUCUGCCACAGGAGUGUUUGAUCUAAGGCUUUGUGGAGUCAAGUUUACAAAGAUGUCAGUACUUCUCAGCCAGAGUGGCUCGUAGAACAAGAACCAUGAGCAGGCAGAAACCUAGUGUCGCUUUCCACUGUAUGGCAUGGGCAGGCAAGGCUCGUGAGGAGAUGCUUUGCCUCAGGAAGCGCAUCUGUCCUGUGCUCAUAAGACUUCCUUUCCAUGGGACACAUUUACUUCGUUUUUUUCAUGGUAUCAACUCCAUGCCCUUUGGUGGCAAGAAGGGCUUCCUUACUUCUGGGGACAGCAUUAGUACCAAGACAGGAGUGUGGACAGUGGACAACAGUCCUCCCCCUUGGAAGGGGUGGUGAUAGACAGGUGUCCUCUGCCAGGUCCCAGGAGAUCUUUGAAGUUACAUCCUUUUGCUCCGUUUGUCGUGUUAUCUCCAAUCUGCCCUGGUUUGCUGCUUACAUAUGUUUCUUCCUGUACCCUAACAUUUUCCUCUCAGCUCCACAAAACAUUCAACCACUCACUGUUUAUAGCCCUGGAGACCAGGGACCUCUAAAUGACUGCGUGGCGUGGCUCAUUAGUUAGACAGGAGUGCCCUGGCUCUGCAGCAGUGAGAAGGGCCUUGCUGUCUGUCGCCAUCUGGGUGUCCAUAGGAAGGCUUGCUCCUUGUAAGGAUCUUUUCUUACAUAUUUCUGACGACUGUUAAUCUCUAACAAGUGCUGAGCCCGAUUCCUGUGACCCAUCCCUGCCACACUCCUACCUGACACACUGACACCUAGAUCCUGUUGGCACGUCCCAAAAUCUUUAGGCCAGCCAGCUCUUCCUCCCUGCUGUAACCCCAGAACUGACCCCAAGAACCAGGACAACCCCGAGGGGAAUCUGGGAGAGGCUCGAGGUCACUUUUCCGUUGGUUUUAUCCACUCUGGCCACCUCUGUUCUUCCUCCCAGGAACUCUUUGCGGUUACUGUUUCCUGGUGUUCAGCUUAGCCUUGCCCACCUUCCAGUGACCCUGAGGGCACAGACCUGAGUAUCCCAUGUGGCCUGUGCAGAGCUCAGAGCACUGUGAGGACCACCCCCUUCCGGUCAGGCCGCUCAGGGACAGAUGGAUGGGUACCUGGUGCUGUCUGCAGAACUCAGUCUCCAGUCCUGCACCCCCACUCCGCUGACUCCCUGAGGGGUAGCAGGGCAGUCACGGUGUGAUCCCUGUGCCUAGCUGCUGGGCCUGACCUGGACUUCGCUGUAUGGGGGCUGCUGCUUGCUUGUUUUCUCACCAGGCCUGUGCCAACACUUGGCCACUCCCCAGGCCCUGAACUGUUCCCCAGUGGGGACUUCACGCCACCUUUCACUAGCUAAGUGACUGUAUGUACACCUCGUACUUCCAGCAUCUGAGGAUGUGGGGGUGAGGAUUGUUUUCAAUAAAUAAAAUCCAAGGAGGCAGUAGACGAUUCUUUUUGCUUUAAAAAUCUUUGGACUAAAGAUAUGUUUUUAUAUAUAUAAAUAUAUAAAGUAAAUUGUUAUGUAACUAUUAUUGUUCCUGUAUGUUCUAAUUUUGUUUUAUGAUGUAAUUAAAGGAAAUCAGCUGUG